CCUACGGGAGGCAGCAGUAGGGAAUCUUCCGCAAUGGACGAAAGUCUGACGGAGCAACGCCGCGUGAGUGAUGAAGGCUUUCGGGUCGUAAAACUCUGUUGUUAGGGAAGAACAAGUACAAGAGUAACUGCUUGUACCUUGACGGUACCUAACCAGAAAGCCACGGCUAACUACGUGCCAGCAGCCGCGGUAAUACGUAGGUGGCAAGCGUUAUCCGGAAUUAUUGGGCGUAAAGGGCGCGUAGGCGGCUUUGCAAGUCAGAUGUGAAAGCCCCGGGCUUAACUCGGGAAUUGCAUCUGAAACUGCUUAGCUUGAGUCCUGGAGGGGGUAGUGGAAUUCCCAGUGUAGCGGUGAAAUGCGUAGAUAUUGGGAGGAACACCUGCGGCGAAGGCGGCUACCUGGACAGUGACUGACGCUGAGGCGCGAAAGCUAGGGGAGCGAACGGGAUUAGAUACCCCGGUAGUCCUAGCCGUAAACGAUGGGCACUUGGUGUUGGGGGUAUUGAGUCCCCCGGUGCCGGAGUUAACACGUUAAGUGCCCCGCCUGGGGAGUACGGUCGCAAGACUGAAACUCAAAGGAAUUGACGG
rnacentral:rRNA from 1 species